UACGGAGGAUGCGAGCGUUAUCCGGAUUUACUGGGUGUAAAGGGCGUGUAGCCGGGCCGGCAAGUCAGAUGUGAAAUCCCAAGGCUCAACCUUGGAACUGCAUUUGAAACUGUUGGUCUUGAGUAUCGGAGAGGCAGGCGGAAUUCCUAGUGUAGCGGUGAAAUGCGUAGAUAUUAGGAGGAACACCAGUGGCGAAGGCGGCCUGCUGGACGACAACUGACGGCGAGGCGCGAAAGCGUGGGGAGCAAACAGG
rnacentral:rRNA from 1 species